rnacentral:rRNA from 1 species
UACGUAGGGUGCGAGCGUUGUCCGGAAUUAUUGGGCGUAAAGAGCUCGUAGGCGGUCUGUCGCGUCGAAUGUGAAAACCCGGGGCUCAACCCCGGGCCUGCAUUCGAUACGGGCAGACUAGAGUUCGGUAGGGGAGUCUGGAAUUCCUGGUGUAGCGGUGAAAUGCGCAGAUAUCAGGAGGAACACCGGUGGCGAAGGCGGGACUCUGGAACGCAACUGACGCUGAGACGCGAAAGCGUGGGGAGCAAACAGG